GACAGAGGGUGCAAACGUUGCUCGGAAUCACUGGGCGUAAAGGGCGCGUAGGCGGACAAGUAAGUCGGGCGUGAAAUCCCUAGGCUCAACCUAGGAACUGCACUCGAAACUGCAUGUCUUGAGUACCGGAGAGGAAAGCGGAAUACCUGGUGUAGAGGUGAAAUUCGUAGAUAUCAGGUGGAACACCAGUGGCGAAGGCGGCUUUGUGGACGGUAACUGACGCUGAGGCGCGAAAGCGUGGGGAGCAAACAGG
rnacentral:rRNA from 1 species